rnacentral:rRNA from 1 species
GGGAAUCUCCGAAUGGGAAAACCCCCACACGGCAAAACCGUGUGACUCCAGCAAUGGAGAGCGAUACUCAGGGAAUUGAAACAUCUUAGUACCUGAAGGAAAAGAAAGUAAAAACGAUUUCGCUAGUAGCGGCGAGCGAAUGCGAAAUUAGCCUAAACCGAUGUUAUGCCAAGCUUGAGGGCGUUGUGAUAUCGGUGUUGUAGGGCUGGCAGGGGUUCACCUCAAUGAACCUGCAAAGUUACCAAAUUGCCAUGUAAGAGAAGUGUUUGGGAAAACACGCCAUAGCGGGUGAUAGCCCCGUAUCUGAAACAUGUGUGAUCUUUUGAGCCAGUUCCUGAGUACCACGGAGUACGUGAAGUUCCGUGGGAAUCUGCGAAGACCAUUUCGUAAGGCUAAAUACUAGGUAGUGACCGAUAGUGAACAAGUACU